GACACACACACACACACACACACACACACACACACACCCUAGAGUCAGCCAGACUCGGAAUCCUAUUUCAGCUACUGGCCAGCUAGGCAUUCUCAGGCAUUUCAGAGCAUUUGUUGCUCCAACUAUGAAAUGAUAUGGUUCUGGGUAAGUUGUGUGCCUUUAAAUGAUGUCAAUGUCCUUAGGCCUAUGAACAGGAUCGUAUUGAAAACUAAGGCCUUUUCAGAAGAGAUUAUAUGGUAAGUGCGGUCCUUUCAAAAAGGAGAAAAUAUAGAGACAAAGGCAGUUGUACAUAGAAGAUGGUGUAAAAAACACAUGGGGCAUUUUACUUGGGAACCAAAGAAUAUCUGGGGCUGAGAGAAGAAAAAGAACUCAGAGAGAGACCCCAGGAACAGAUCAUCUCUCACACCUUUCAGAAGGAGCCCAGCAGAUGCUUUGGUUUGGGCCUCUAGGCUGUCUACAGUACUGUCAUAGUAAUCUCAAAAGAUCAAUACAGACCCCAGACUGAAAGCCUUUGAAGGCCGUCCGCUGCUGUAUCGACAUCACUUAGCGCUAUCGUAGCAUCGAGUGGUUUUGUUUGCAUAAUACUUUCUAAAAAUAUCUGAAUAUUGUUCUGUAAGGUGCUUAACAUAACAGUUGCUUCAGUUAAUCAUGACUGUUGGUUUUAUUAAGUAGAGCACGAGUCUGCAAGUCUCAAUUUCCUUCUCUUGGAAAACGAAUAAAACAACCCCCAUACCCCAAUCGGUAGGCUUUAAUUAAAAGAAUGUGGGUAACUCAGUGCUUGGCAAAUGCCAGUAAGUUAAUAAAUGACAGCAACAGGUGUCUCGGGCUGCCCUGCAGUAUAUUCCAUGAUCUUUCAGAACGCUUUUGCUGUUGCCAUGGUCACCUGUGUUCUUCAGAGCUUAACAUUUCACUCUUGUUCUUUUCACUCCCCUCUGGUGUUUACUGAAGACCUAUCAUGUGCUAAGGAAUAUUUCAUUCUGUCCACAGGGAAUUUCAGACUCUUGUUGUUCACCACUGUGUGCACCAGGCUAGCUGACUGUGAGCUUCCGAGUCUGCUAGACAGGAAACGGAACUGGACUGUGUAGGCCGAGUGUAUGGUAAAGAUCUUUCAGACUCUAAUCAUAAUCUUUGGCAUUUGCAAAAUGGCCAUCAAGAUCUUUAUAGUAUAUCUCUGAUAACAUUCUGCCCAAGUUCAAUACUAAUUUCGCUUGAGAUUUACAUUUGAUUUUUUAAAUUACACAUAUGCAUGUCUGCCUGUGUGUGGUGUGUGCUCAUAAGUGUAGGUGUCUACAGAGCCCUGAAGCUGGAGUUAGAGCUGUUGUGAGCUGCUCAACAUGGGUGGUAGGAAAUAAACUCAGGUGUAAUUUUGAUUCUUCUCACCCUACUUUUUUUAAUAACAGUUCCUAAAGCUUUAACCUCUCUUCUAGCCCACCACCCACCAGAGGUAGUAGAAAAAAAAGGUUAUUGAAAUACAGGGGAAUUGGACCUGUUUAGAAAUUGCUCUUUGGAGCAAAUCCCAUCUGCAUUGUCAGGAAACCAGCUGUUCAGUUCACAGGAAUCAUCAGCGGCGGCUUGAUCCACUCCCAAACACUUCAUGAAUAUACCAGCAGUCCAGCUCAGUAGUGUUGGGAUAGCAAACACGAAUUAGCAGUGGUGGCACAACAUAGCAGAGACAGCCAGGCCUUAGCUGAAUUGGCACAAGUCAUCAGGAGGGACCAGGACUAUCAGGGAAACUAAGAGAAGUUCUUUGCCUUGUCUUUCUCAACAAAGUAAAGAUCAGCAAAGACAUGACUCCAAGAAGCCUUGCAAAGCUAGCUCUCUACAAGCAAGCCCUUCUCACAGUCCGUUGACUCCCUCCAAACUCUGCAUGCCCUCCAUGGGUCUUCUUGCCUCACCACAUGUCUUACCUCAGGACCUAAGUCUGUAUCAGCUGACAUCACUCUGCCUGUCUAUCGAGUCUGUGGAAGCAGCAAGAAACCGCCAGCACACCACCAGAAGUAUUUUGGUGUAUUUCUCUCUAUGGAGUCCUAACAAACCAUGACCAAUAAACACUGGUAAAAGGUACCAAUACCAUCCAGUGUCAUCCACAAUCUUUGGGAUCCUUCUUGACAUCACGUGUCCUUUCAUGUGUUUGCCUUAGCAAAACAUCCUUUCACCUGUUCCCGAUUCAGGAAAACAUUCCUUCCCAUUUUGUCCAGCAAAACACCAUCCAACACUUUCCAAAGAAACCAGAAGUUUCAUCUUCACUCGGGUCCUCUGGAAGAGCCAUCUUUCUAGCCCUAGGACUUUAAAAGAAACCAAACUCUAUAGAGUUUGAACAUUUGGGGUUGUCACAACUUGGGUAGAGGCUACUAUUAUUUAUAUCUGACACUUGGGAUAUUAUUAAACAUUCCCACAUAUACAGAAUAGUUUUCUCCUAGAACGAGGAGUUUUCCAACUUCUGCUACUAAGAAUAUUGAGGUUAAAAAACAAACGGACAAAAUACCCAAAUACUAUGAAUCUAGACUGUUUUAUUUCCUUGUCUUGUAUUUUUUCUCACCCAUAAAUAGCAAUAUCUAAAAAGAAGUCUCUCUCUUUCAUCCCUGUCAUUGAAAAAUGUUAGGCCAUCUAACCAUUGUAACUAUUUCUAGGCAUGGUUUCUACAAAUAUCCCCAACUAGCACACUGGGGUUUGACAUGCUGAGAAUGGAUAUUGGGCUUUAAGAACCAGUUUGCUUUCUGUUGCUGUGAUAAACAUCAGGACCAAAAGCAACUAGGGGAAGAAAAGGUCUAUGUCAUCUCACACUUCCAGGUAGCAGGUCAUCACUGAGUGACAUCAAGGCAAGGAUUGAAGGCAGAAACCUUGAGGCAGGAAUUGAAGCAGAAGCCAUGGAGGAAUGCUGUCUAUUAGCUUGCUCACCCCGAUUUGUUCAGUUUGCUUUCUUACCUCAGGAUCACCUACCUAAGGGUGACAUCGCCCACAGUGGACUAGUAGUCCCUUUCACAUCAAUCAUCAAUCAAGUAAAAUGCACCACAGGCUUGCCUGUAGGCCAAUCUGAUGGGUGUACUUUCUCAACGGAAGUAUCCUCUUCUUAGAUGACUCCAGCUUGUGUCAAGUUGACAAAAAACCCAACUGACACCUCAUGCUUGUGCUAGGGGUGUGCUAGGGGUGUGAGGUGCUGGGUUUAAUCUGUAGCUCUUUGAACAAAGCAGAAAGCAUCCUUCAUUGCUUGUUAAUUAAAAAAACGAGAAAUCACUGUGUUCUCAGUAGACAAAGGGAGUUCAUUGGCACCUAGUUCUUCCGCUGUUCCCCUUUGUUUCCAGCAGCUGCUUGGGACAUUGAGUGAAUGACUGUCCUGAAUGGAGUUGUCCUGGGAGAGAUUUAGAAGGAUGUAUGACUUCUGGUGUGUGUAUGCAGCAAUUAUGCGCCAGCGAACAGACAGCUGCUCUAAUCCUGGGUCUGUGUUAGAAGCUCUUUAAAAUUUGCUUAGCAGUAACCAUGGGGUUCAAUUUUCCUGUGCAUGGUCUAAUUUUAAUUAAAAAAAAUCAGUGGUGUAAUAUGUAAAUCUUUGCUAUUUGUCUCCCCAGGAUAAUAAGGCCCAUCAGGGCUUCUAAAUUCUAAUUUGCAAGGACUUAAAAAACAGGACUCCUGUGCAAAUACACAGUGAGUGUGAAAGCAUUUGCUCGGCUCCUGCAUUGACGAGUCAGCCACUCAGAGGCUGUAAAUGGACUAGUGCUGUGAGUGACUUGAAGAAGGAUAUUUAUAUGGGAGCCUGAAGCUCUUGUUUUGCUUUUCGAUGAAAAGCUUGUCAACUUUCAACUGAUGAGGAGGAGCACAAAUUGGGAAGUCUUUGAAGGAAGGAGAAACACAGGUUGAGUUCCUGGCUGCCCGUUGAGUGGAUCAGGACAGUUAGCAGCUUUUGAACUGAGUGAUGGCCUUGAGACUCUCUUCUCACUUACUUGUAACCUCUUCUGUGCCAAGUGAAGUGUGGUGAUGGGCAGAAUGCUCUCACACUGUAUAACUCGGGUUUACUGAUGCUACCACCGCCUUUGCCGGAUGUUAAAGGUAUAUUAAUUGAUUAUUAACGAUGAAUUCCCCCGUUUGUUUUAGUUCGAUUACUAUCACCUGAGAUAAGAACGGUCUCUAAGGAUCAAGGGUUUACUUGAAGUAGUUACUCACUGGAGGGUAGGCUCCCAGCACAAAGCACAACUGUACCCCACAGGGCUCCCAUGGAACCACUGGCUAAGUUUCCUAACCUCUCCGCAGCUUUAAGUACAGACCCAGCAGUCUUUAUUUUGCUUUGCCUAGCUCUUCCUUCCUUCCUUCCUUUACCUUGGCCCUUGAGUUAGGGUUUGGCCUGGUGGAUCAGACACAGAUCACACCUGAAGUACAAGACGAAUGUUCUAUUGCCUUUUGGUGAUUAAACCAGUCAUGUUAUUGUUGGCAGCCUAGCCCAGAGGUAAGGCAGAGAAAAGCAAGAGGAACAGGAAAUCAUUCUGUAAAAUAUUUACAGGAAAACGUUGGCUUGCUUGAAGUGAUUCACUGGCCUGCUUUCCCUCUGUCUUUUUGCCUUCUCUAAUAACUUCCCUCUCGCUGGCUCCCUGUUACACAAGUUUUAGUCUUAAAAGGAGUACUGGGAAGUAAAAUUUUCUUAAUCUGAAGAUAUGAUGCCAUGUUUUGAGUCACACACACACAAAAAACCCCACCAUUUUAAUUAUUAGAAAUAUUCGGUUUUGCUACAAUCAGUCACACGUGUCCCCAACAGCUCCACUCUGUUCCAGCACUAUGCCUUCCAGCUCCAUCUCAUCUGAGGAGCCUGGAUUCUAUGGUCCUGUCCCACAGCUGCUUUGAAAUCUAGAUGAGCAGGUAGUUCUUUAUCCCUAGGGCGGGCUCAAAAUAGUUGAUCCAGGCACUUCAGAAUGUGUGUCCUUCUUAAAUCCCAAGUAAGUGGAAAAAAAAAAAAAAGCCCGCUCCAGAGUACACAGAGCAAAGGACUCCAGGCUGAGCUACUACAGCUGUGCUAGCCCCCUUUGUCAGCUUCACCAUGGAGACCACUAGCCUUCUUUGAAGACCCUUAGAGCAGCAGUGCCUAGGGAAUGUAUAGAGUGACAUUGUUCCUUUCAGAACACCCUCACUCAUGGUAGAAAUGGGCAGGUUAACCAGGAUGAUUAUUCACAAGUAUGUUUUUAGUUUUAGUGAUUGCAAUAUUUAAAACCAAGGAGAGGACUAUUGAAUAGUGAUUUUUUAUAAAUGUGUUCUGGAAAAACUAUAUAAUACUUUCUUGCUUUUGUAGUUCAUGCUGACCUUGAGUAGCCUUGUCUUCUUGGUGCUUACACUUAUGGACAUAUACCACUGUGUCUGCAUGCUGCCUCCUCUCUUCGUAUGGUACUAGAACCUGAGCUUCACACGUCAAGCACAUGUUGUUCUAUUGAGUUAUCAUACCCCCCCAUCACCCAGUGCUUCAUUUAUAAAACCAUAUGACCCUUAUUACAUUUUAAAACUUUAAAUUAUGUGGAUCGGUGUGUAUGUGUACCUGAGUGCAGUUACCAGAGGAGACCAGAAGGUGGCGAUAUAGGAGACCUAGAGCUGGGGUUACAAGCUGUUGUGAGGCACCUACAUGCUACUGAGAACUAAAUUUGUGUCCUCUGCAAGAGCAGUAGGAAAUUGUAACUGCUGAGCUGUCUCUUUGGCUUAAGGCUACCCAGGAUAUAUCUUACUGUUGGGUUUUGUGCUUAUUCAUUUGUUCAUGUUAAACAUAGGAAAUGGUUCAGGCAAAAUAGGGGUUAGGAAAGAAUAUGAAAAUUUAAGGAACAGUUGAAGCAUUGUGUCCUAAGCAAUAUGAAGGUAGAUGGGCAGUAGCCACUUCCUCUGGUUUGAACCAGCCCUUCCUGCAAGGAGUAGGGACGUUGGUAAGAUUCAGAAAUCCAAAGAACAGGACGCUCAGCAAAGCUCAGAAAGUUGAAAGACUCACAAGGCCCCAGGGUAGCAUUACACAAUUGCUCCAGUCUUCCGUGGAGCAGCUUGCAAGCUGUGUAUCGAGCUCCAGCAACCAGCCUUUUGUUUUUGUUUUUUCCAGACAACAGGGCUUCUCUGUGUAGUUCUGGCUAUCCCUAAACUCAUUCUGUAGACCAGGCUGGCCUCAAACUUUUGCCUCUGCCUCCCAAGUGCUGGGACUAAAGGCUUGCACCACCACCUAGCUACAAUGUAGCUCUUUCAUGAACUUUCACCCCUGGCGGGAUAGACUUUUCCAUUGAUGUAGCCACCUUUGUGUUAAUGGUACUCUUGGAAGGAGCCCCUUACUCACAUUCCUAUACAUAAUUCCCCAAAACUAUUAGUUCGCCAAGUUAGAAGUUGUGUAGGUCACUUGCUGUAUUACUGACUCAUUAAAUGGAAAUGGCGCACAAAAAAAAAUGCAUCUGUGGUUUAGUGUCAAUGGAUGCACUGAAUAGCCAUUUGCUCUCUCCCCAGGGGGGGGAAAAAUCACACAACAAUGGACAUCCAUUUCAAUUCAAUAUGGCAC
ensembl:lncRNA